rnacentral:rRNA from 1 species
CCUACGGGAGGCUGCAGUGGGGAAUAUUGCACAAUGGGCGCAAGCCUGAUGCAGCCAUGCCGCGUGUGUGAAGAAGGCCUUCGGGUUGUAAAGCACUUUCAGCGGGGAGGAAGGCGUUAAGGUUAAUAACCUUGUCGAUUGACGUUACCCGCAGAAGAAGCACCGGCUAACUCCGUGCCAGCAGCCGCGGUAAUACGGAGGGUGCAAGCGUUAAUCGGAAUUACUGGGCGUAAAGCGCACGCAGGCGGUCUGUCAAGUCGGAUGUGAAAUCCCCGGGCUCAACCUGGGAACUGCAUUCGAAACUGGCAGGCUAGAGUCUUGUAGAGGAGGGUAGAAUGCCAGGUGUAGCGGUGAAAUGCGUAGAGAUCUGGAGGAAUACCGGUGGCGAAGGCGGCCCCCUGGACAAAGACUGACGCUCAGGUGCGAAAGCGUGGGGAGCAAACAGGAUUAGAUACCCCAGUAGUC